GCCCUGGUAGAUCAAUGCAGAUCAUCCCACUUUUGUCAUCCGCCACAUCCAUUUCAUAAUAAAGGGGAAGACGGAGGUUCGAAUCCUCCCCCGGGCA